GACGAACGCUGGCGGCGCGCUUAACACAUGCAAGUCGAGCGAAGCGGCGGACGGGUGAGUAACCCGUGAGUAACCUGCCUUAGACAUUGGGAUAGCCUCGGGAAACCGGGCUUAAUACCAAAUGGUCUAAGAUGGACUCGCGUCCCAUUCGCUAGUUGGUGAGGUAACGGCCCACCAAGGCGACGAUGGGUAGCCGGCCGGAGAGGUGGAACGGACACAGUGGAACUGAGAAACGGUCCAAACUCUACGGGAGGCAGCAGUGGGGAAUAUUGCACAAUGGAGGGAACGCUGAUGCAGCGACGCCGCGUGUACGAAGAAGGCUUUCGAGUCGUAAAGUUCUUUUAUAUGGGAAGCGGUACCAUAAGAAAAAGCCCCGGCUAACUACGUGCCAGCAGCCGCGGUAAUUC
rnacentral:rRNA from 1 species